UGGGGAAUAUUGCACAAUGGGCGCAAGCCUGAUGCAGCCAUGCCGCGUGUAUGAAGAAGGCCUUCGGGUUGUAAAGCACUUUCAGCGGGGAGGAAGGCGGUGAGGUUAAUAACCUCAUCGAUUGACGUUACCCGCAGAAGAAGCACCGGCUAACUCCGUGCCAGCAGCCGCGGUAAUACGGAGGGUGCAAGCGUUAAUCGGAAUUACUGGGCGUAAAGCGCACGCAGGCGGUCUGUCAAGUCGGAUGUGAAAUCCCCGGGCUCAACCUGGGAACUGCAUUCGAAACUGGCAGGCUAGAGGCAUGUAGAGGGGGGGAGAAUUCCAGGUGUAGCGGUGAAAUGCGUAGAGAUCUGGAGGAAUACCGGUGGCGAAGGCGGCCCCCUGGACAAAGACUGACGCUCAGGUGCGAAAGCGUGGGGAGCAAACAGG
rnacentral:rRNA from 1 species